rnacentral:misc_RNA from 1 species
UUAAAAACUGGGAUUAACAAACACCAUCCGAAUCAGAUAUCCUAAAAGCAAAAUAGUAACAGACAACACGGUAGACUUAACAUCACAUAUUCCUCCAUCAAUCUCUACUUCUCUGACGAGUUGGGUCCUCUCUUCUUCCCGAAUCCAACAACGGCGGUAACGAAGCGGCGAUUGUACUGCAUGCGCUUGUGGGCGCGGCCCCUCGGCUUCUUCUUCUUG